ACGGGUGAGUAACACGUGGGAACGUGCCCUUCGGUUCGGAAUAACUCAGGGAAACUUGAGCUAAUACCGGAUACGCCCUUAUGGGGAAAGGUUUACUGCCGAAGGAUCGGCCCGCGUCUGAUUAGCUUGUUGGUGGGGUAACGGCUUACCAAGGCGACGAUCAGUAGCUGGUCUGAGAGGAUGAUCAGCCACACUGGGACUGAGACACGGCCCAGACUCCUACGGGAGGCAGCAGUGGGGAAUAUUGGACAAUGGGCGCAAGCCUGAUCCAGCCAUGCCGCGUGAGUGAUGAAGGCCUUAGGGUUGUAAAGCUCUUUUGUCCGGGACGAUAAUGACGGUACCGGAAGAAUAAGCCCCGGCUAACUUCGUGCCAGCAGCCGCGGUAAUACGAAGGGGGCUAGCGUUGCUCGGAAUCACUGGGCGUAAAGGGCGCGUAGGCGGCCGAUUAAGUCGGGGGUGAAAGCCUGUGGCUCAACCACAGAAUUGCCUUCGAUACUGGUUGGCUUGAGACCGGAAGAGGACAGCGGAACUGCGAGUGUAGAGGUGAAAUUCGUAGA
rnacentral:rRNA from 1 species